GCUGACAUGUCCCGGCCAAUCUCCAGCAGACCCUCCCUCCCAGACUCUCCUACUUCCUGGACAGCAUCCAUGUUUCAACAGUCCAUGUUUUCAACAUGUUGAAACAUGGAUGCUGUCCAGGAAGUAGGAGGGUCUGGGAGGGAGGGUCUGCUGGAGAUUGACCGGGACGUGUCAG
rnacentral:miRNA from 1 species